AUGCCACCGCUCGCACACCUGGGAGUUUUCCUGCGUGUCCACGCUCCUCCUGCCCAAACACUCGCCAGGGCUGCUCCUCACCUUUCAUUUUUCCUGAAAGAAGUGAGAGCGAGCCCCCACCGAUCGCCGUGGCGGGCGGAACCAGAAAGCAGGUGUCUUCUCUUCGCUUUGGGACGCUCCAUCCCUAUGUGCACCGCAGAGGCCCGUGAGGGAGGACGGGCGGAGCGUGUCGGAUGAGGAUGGACGUUCCGCUGGACAGGAUGAGGGCAGCGGGCCUGGCCUCGCCACCCCAAGGGUAAGAGCUGCUUGCGCUCCUGGGCUCCCUCACCUGCCGUUUAUCAAGGGGAGAGGAGGAGGGACCUGGGGAGCUAGGGACAGAAGAGGAGCUGAGACCUGGAGACUGUUUUGGGUGUAAAAUCCACUGGGCAGGUGGUGUAGACAGCUCUAGUCAGACUGGAAGGGUUCGCUGGGCGUUGUAUUGGGGCAGGGUGGGCCCAUUUUGGAAAAUUCUGUAGUUCAGGUCUUUUUUUUUGGACACGGUAUUGUUGAGUCUUGAGGGAGCAGCACCUUGUUUUUAUGACAAGACUCCGUCUGUUUGAGUCAGUCUGGCUUUAGGUAGGUCCUGUGGAGACGGGGCUGGGGAGCAGACGUAUCGAUGGGCCUGGCCUGGGCAGACCUUUCUAUUUGCUCCACGUAACGUUUAAACGCAGGGGUUCUGAACCUUCCUUGUUCCACGGACCCCUCUGCCAGUUAAGUGAAAACCACGGGCCCUUUACUGAGUCCACACUGUACUGUGCAUUAUUUAAUAAAUACGUCACACCCGCUCCAGCAUGUCCCCAUGACAAUAAUGUGUUUUGGAACUGAAGUCAAGCUCACGGAGCCCCGGU
rnacentral:lncRNA from 1 species